GACGAACGCUGGCGGCGUGCUUAACACAUGCAAGUCGAACGGAAAGGCCUGCUUUCCCUUGUGGAUUGCGGGUACUCGAGUGGCGAACGGGUGAGUAACACGUGAGUGAUCUGCCCCCAACUUGGGUAUAAGCCUGGGAAACUGGGUCUAAUUCCCGAUAGGACUGCAGGGUGGUGCCUGUGGUGGAAAACGAUUUUCUAGUGGUUGGGGAUGAGCUCGCGGCCUAUCAGCUUGUUGGUGGGGUAAUGGCCUACCAAGGCGGCGACGGGUAGCCGGCCUGAGAGGGUGGACGGCCACAUUGGGACUGAGAUACGGCCCAGACUCCUACGGGAGGCAGCAGUGGGGAAUACUGCACAAUGGGCGGAAGCCUGAUGCAGCGACGCCGCGUGGGGGAUGACGGCCUUCGGGUUGUAAACUCCUUUCGACCGCGAGGAAGCCACCUGGUUGGAAGGGUGGUGACGGUAGUGGUAGAAGAAGCACCGGCUAACUACGUG
rnacentral:rRNA from 1 species